AUGAGUCCGGUCAAGCCGGUGGGAGGCAAUGCCGGAAAAGUUGCCUUGGAUGAAGAUCCUGAUAAGAUGACUCGUCACAUAGGUGAGGCUAAUAAGGAGCUUCGCAUCACUAGCGAUGGUAUACAACAAUUAUUUGGGUUCCCUCGUGGUGGUCGUUCUGCGCCAAGGCCGUCAGAGGACGGAUAUGACGACGCUCUGAUGAAGUUAAGAUCGGAGCUUGACAUUAGCAGGAACAAAGAUAUCAAGACAAAGGAUUUCAGGAAUAAGCUCAAGGUGCUCGUCAAGGAUCCUAGCAAAGAUGACCUUGCUCUGAAAGUGUUCUUCAUUAUUGUGUUUAUGAAGGUUGUGUUGCCUGGUGCCGCCCCGCGUGUUUCCAGAGAGGCAGCAAUGUUUGAGGGUCUCGUCUUUGAGGACAUGGCUAAUAUGGAUUAUUGCCAGCUGAUGGUUGAUGAGCUUAGAAGGGUUGUUGCCAAGUACCAAGAUGGUGUUACCCUUGGGAAGGCAAUCACACGUUGUGCUAUAGGGCCUGUACUAAUGUACCUUGACUGCCUUAUCCGUGGCAAGAUUGCGGAGCCUGACAUGCGAGUCCCCCGCAUAUGUUUCAUGGAUCCUGUCAAGCUUUCUGAUUUGGUUGAUGCAGAUUUGAUAAAAAAAAGGCAAUGCAGAUCCAAAGACUUGGGUGUUUGGGAAGCUUCCGUGGAAAACUCAAGAGGAGGUUGUUUUUUUCGAGUGUAUAAACGGCCAGUCCUGGAGAUGUCGUCGUCUUAG
rnacentral:rRNA from 1 species